rnacentral:sRNA from 1 species
GAGUCUUAUGACUGAAGGAAAGAGAAUGAUUUUAUUUGUCAUUAAAGCUAACAAAAUAACGAAACAUUUCCUUUAUUAAAGGUAUAAUUACAUAAAUAAAUAAAAUUUAAAAAGUUAGUUAGUCUUUUUUAAAUAAAAAAAACUUGUUUGAUUUUUCACUGACAUUUAUGGACAUGCUUCUAAUCCAAUUUAUUUUCAGUAACAAUAUUUUAAAUUUUGAAUUUGUGAAUAGCAUUGUUAAUUUAAUCAAAUAAAUGAUUUCUCAAACUUCUUCCUAUUUUUCUGCAAGGAAGAUGUGAAAACUCCCUUAAUUUUUUUGGUCUUAUUAAAUGUAUAUGUACAGUAUGUACUUGUAUAUAUAUAAAAAAAAAACUUUGUUUUUUUACAUGCAUGUACAAUAUAUCAACACAAAUUUUCAGUGCCCAUGGAUAAAAUAUGUUAGGAUAAGGACAUCACCAACAACCAAAAUUACUUAUAUAUUUUUUAAAAAAUGGCAGCUCCUGGACACGUGUUCUUAUUAUGAAAAUAAAAAAAAUAUUGUU